GAGACAGGUGGUGCAUGGUUGUCGUCAGCUCGUGUCGUGAGAUGUUGGGUUAAGUCCCGCAACGAGCGCAACCCUUACUGUCAGUUACUACGCAAGAGGACUCUGGCAGGACUGCCGUUGACAAAACGGAGGAAGGUGGGGAUGACGUCAAAUCAUCAUGCCCUUUAUGACUUGGGCUACACACGUACUACAAUGGCGUUAAACAAAGAGAAGCAAGACCGCGAGGUGGAGCAAAACUCAGAAACAACGUCCCAGUUCGGACUGCAGGCUGCAACUCGCCUGCACGAAGUCGGAAUUGCUAGUAAUCGUGGAUCAGCAUGCCACGGUGAAUACGUUCCCGGGCCUUGUACACACCGCCCGUCACACCAUGAGAGCCGGGGGGACCCGAAGUCGGUAGUCUAACCGCAAGGAGGACGCCGCCGAAGGUAAAACUGGUGAUUGGGGUGAAGUCGUAACAAGGUAGCCGUAGGAGAACCUGCGGCUGGAUCACCUCCUUUCUAAGGAG
rnacentral:rRNA from 1 species